GAGUGAGAAGUGGCAGCAUCAUCAACUCCAAAGACAGCUUUAUACAAGAUUAGCAUCUUCAACAAGAAUGUCAGAGGCAUGAAAAUGAGGAAAAUGUAAUCACAAUCACUCACUAUGAAUUUCCUGGGACAAAAUUAAACUUAAAUGGCAACAAAAGGUAAGUGACUCCCAUGCAGUGAUUGCCAAAUGGGCUUUCUUCCCAGGUCCUCUGAAAGAAUCUGGAGGAAAUAAUGAUGCUCAGGAGACAAUUCAUGAUCACUCGGAAUUUCUGACAACCAUGGCAAGUAUGAUAGCAACAAAGAGAUAAGCUUUAAGCAAUUUCUAAAUAUUGUACAUUUCCGUUUAUUUAGAUUAUCAUCACAAUGGUUUGUUUUGUUGUUUGUUUUUGUUUUUUUGAGAUAGAGUCUCGCUCUGUCACCCAGGGCUGGAGUGCAGUGGUGCGAUCUUGGCUCACUGCAACCUCUGCUUCCUGGGCUCAAGUGAUUCUCAUGCCUCAGCCUCCCGAGUAGCUGGGAUUACAGGUGUGUGCCACUGCACCUGGCUAAUUUUUGUAAUUUUAGUAGAGAUGGGGUUUCUCCAUGUUGGCCAGGCUGGUCACGAACUCCUGGCCUUAAGUGAUCCACCCGCUUCAGCCUCCCAAAGUGUUUGGAUUACAAGCGUGAGCCACCGCACCUGGCCCAACACAAUGGAUAUUUAUAAAGUCAAUUUUUUUAUGGGGUUGAGAAAGAUACCUUUUAAAAAUAAUGGGAAAAUAUUCUGUUUGUACACAGAGAUAAAGAAUACGUAUGAUGAUCUUGAAAAUGACUUGCCUAUCAGCCUGGAACAGUACGGAUUGAUCAGAAACGUUUUUGGAGAAAAUAACAGAAGCCUGCCCAAUCCAGAAAUGUUCAGCUGCAGAUCCUGGCCUCUCCACACUUAA
rnacentral:lncRNA from 1 species